UGCAGUCGAGGGGUAGGGUGCUUUCGAGGCUGAGACCGGCGCACGGGUGCGUAACGCGUAUGCAAUCUGCCUUUCACAGAGGGAUAGCCCAGAGAAAUUUGGAUUAAUACCUCAUAGCAUAAUCAAACCGCAUGGUUCGAUUAUUAAAGUCACAACGGUGAAAGAUGAGCAUGCGUCCCAUUAGCUAGUUGGUAAGGUAACGGCUUACCAAGGCCACGAUGGGUAGGGGUCCUGAGAGGGAGAUCCCCCACACUGGUACUGAGACACGGACCAGACUCCUACGGGAGGCAGCAGUGAGGAAUAUUGGUCAAUGGGCGCAAGCCUGAACCAGCCAUGCCGCGUGCAGGAUGACGGUCCUAUGGAUUGUAAACUGCUUUUGUACGGGAAGAAACACUCCGACGUGUCGGAGCUUGACGGUACCGUAAGAAUAAGGAUCGGCUAACUCCGUGCCAGCAGCCGCGGUAAUACGGAGGAUCCAAGCGUUAUCCGGAAUCAUUGGGUUUAAAGGGUCCGUAGGCGGUCUUGUAAGUCAGUGGUGAAAGCCCAUCGCUCAACGGUGGAACGGCCAUUGAUACUGCAGGACUUGAAUUAUUGGGAAGUAACUAGAAUAUGUAGUGUAGCGGUGAAAUGCUUAGAGAUUACAUGGAAUACCAAUUGCGAAGGCAGGUUACUACCAAUUGAUUGACGCUGAUGGACGAAAGCGUGGGUAGCGAACAGGAUUAGAUACCCUGGUAGUCCACGCCGUAAACGAUGGAUACUAGCUGUUGGGAGCAAUCUCAGUGGCUAAGCGAAAGUGAUAAGUAUCCCACCUGGGGAGUACGAACGCAAGUUUGAAACUCAAAGGAAUUGACGGGGGCCCGCACAA
rnacentral:rRNA from 1 species